rnacentral:misc_RNA from 1 species
GAAAGGUUGUGAACUAUGCCUGAGG